AAUCCCGCCGGCCGGAAGUCCAAGGUUUCCAGGGGAAGGUUUGUCCGCCCUGGGGAAGUCGGGACCUAAGCAUAAGCAAAAAUGUGAUGGCGAAUGGAAAACAGGUUAAUAUUCCUGUACCGCUGUUAUCGCCUGAGAGACGGAGUGACGCAGGAAGGUAUGCGGGAAGGCUGACGGAAUAGCCUUUCUAAGGGCGUAGCAUGGGCAUGCAGGAAAAUCCGCAUGCCUAAAUGUGAGACCUGACGGGUAAGUGCAUCUUGCAUAAGCCGCAGAUCCUACACUGCCGAGAAAAACUUCUAUCGAUGAGAGCCAGCGCCCGUACUGUAAACCGACACAGGUGGACAGAGUGAGAAACUUAAGGCCGACAGGAUAACUCUAGCUAAGGAACUCUGCAAAAUAGCCCCGUAACUUCGGGAGAAGGGGUGCCUGACAUACCUGAGAGGAGAAGCGCCUCAAGGGGAAACAGGCCGCAGUGAAGAGUCCCAAGCAACUGUUUACCAAAAACACAGGUCUAUGCUAAGCUGAAAGGCGACGUAUAUGGGCUGACACCUGCCCAGUGCCGGAAGGUUAAGAGGAGGAGUGAGAGCUCCGAAUUGAAGCCCCGGUGAACGGCGGCCGUAACUAUAACGGUCCUAAGGUAGCGAAAUUCCUUGUCGGGUAAGUUCCGACCUGCACGAAUGGUGAAAUGAUUUGGGAGCUGUCUUGGCUGGAGACCUGGUGAAGUUGUAAUGCCGGUGAAGAUACCGGCUACCUGCAGUAGGACGGAAAGACCCCGUGGAGCUUUACUGCAGUCUGGCAUUGGGUUUUGGCUGUGUGUGUAUAGGAUAGUUGGGAGACUGUGAAGCUGAGGCGUCAGUUUCAGCCGAGUCGCCGUUGGAAUACCAACCAUAUGCCGUUGAAAUUCUAAUCUGGUAACGGAGACAGUGCUAGAUGGGCAGUUUGACUGGGGCGGUCGCCUCCAAAAGAGUAACGGAGGCGUUCAAAGGUUCCCUCAGGCUGGAUGGAAAUCAGCCUAGGAGUGCAAACGCAUAAGGGAGCUUGACUGCAAGACUGACGGGUCGAGCAGGCACGAAAGUGGGAGUUAGUGAUCCGGCGGUUCCGUAUGGAAGGACCGUCGCUCAACGGAUAAAAGCUACCCCGGGGAUAACAGGCUGAUACUUCCCAAGAGUCCAUAUCGACGGAAGUGUUUGGCACCUCGAUGUCGGCUCGUCUCAUCCUGGGGCUGGAGAAGGUCCCAAGGGUUGGGCUGUUCGCCCAUUAAAGAGGCACGCGAGCUGGGUUCAGAACGUCGUGAGACAGUUCGGUCCCUAUCCACUGCAGGCGCCUGAAUACUGAAAAGAUCUGACCUUAGUACGAGAGGACCGGGUUGGACAGACCUCUGAUGUACCAGUUGUCACGCCAGUGGCACGGCUGGGUAGUCACGUCUGGGACGGAUAACCGCUGAAAGCAUCUAAGCGGGAAGCCGGCUUUGAGAUGAGUGUUCGCAGUAUCCAUGGAGAACACAUGGUUGAUAGGCCAGGGGUGCAAGCGCAGCAAUGCGUUCAGCUGACUGGUACUAAUAUUACAUCUGCUUUUUAGU
rnacentral:rRNA from 1 species